AGAGUUUGAUCCUGGCUCAGGACGAACGCUGGCGGUGUGCUUCACACAUGCAAGUCGAACGAGGUAGCAAUACCUAGUGGCGGACGGGUGAGUAACGCGCGGGAAUCUGCCUUAAGAUGGGGGAUAGCUAGCCGAAAGGCUAAUUAAUACCGCAUAUGUAUAUAUUUCGACAGUUUUAUAUAUAAAAGUAGUAAUACGUCUUAAGAUGAGCCCGCGUCCGAUUAGCUAGUUGGUAGGGUAAAAGCCUACCAAGGCUAUGAUCGGUAGGUGGUCCGAGAGGAUGAUCACCCACAAUGGAACUGAGACACGGUCCAUACUCCUACGGGAGGCAGCAGUGGGGAAUUUUACGCAAUGGGCGAAAGCCUGACGUAGCGACACCGCGUGAGCGAAGAAGCCUUUUGGGGUGUAAAGCUCUGUCAGCUGGGAAGAAAAAAAUGACGGUACCAGCAGAGGAAGCAUCGGCUAACUACGUGCCAGCAGCCGCGGUAAGACGUAGGAUGCAAGCGUUGUCCGGAUUUAUUGGGCGUAAAGAGUUCGUAGGCGGUUUGUUAAGUCUGAUGUUAAAAAUCGGGGCUCAACCCCGGGGCUGCAUUGGAUACUGGCAGACUUGAGUGCGGUAGAGGUAAGUGGAAUUUCUGGUGUAGCGGUGAAAUGCGUAGAUAUCAGAAAGAACACCAGUGGCGUACGCGACUUACUGGGCCGUAACUGACGCUGAGGAACGAAAGCCAGGGGAGCAAAUGGGAUUAGAUACCCCAGUAGUCC
rnacentral:rRNA from 1 species